GUAGGUGGCAAGCGUUGUCCGGAAUUAUUGGGCGUAAAGCGCGCGCAGGCGGUGCUUUAAGUCUGAUGUGAAAGCCCACGGCUCAACCGUGGAGGGUCAUUGGAAACUGGAGAACUUGAGUACAGAAGAGGAAAGCGGAAUUCCACGUGUAGCGGUGAAAUGCGUAGAGAUGUGGAGGAACACCAGUGGCGAAGGCGGCUUUCUGGUCUGUAACUGACGCUGAGGCGCGAAAGCGUGGGGAGCAAACAGGAUUAGAUACCCUGGUAGUCCACGCCGUAAACGAUGAGUGCUAAGUGUUAGGGGGUUUUCCGCCCCCCUUAGUGCUGCAGCUAACGCAUUAAGCACCCCCCGCCUGGGGAGUACGGCCGCAAGGCUG
rnacentral:rRNA from 1 species